GGCCGGAAUGUGGUAAUAAGCCGGGAUUUGCUGUAUACUUCAGAUAUCAAAAUAGUCAACGUGUAUCUUAUCGUCAGUUCUCUAAAGGUGAUAUGGCAAUUCGUAGGAGUUCCUAGGGGUGAUUUGUAGUAUAAAAGCACAAUCUGGCGCACAAGUAUAUAAAUUCAGCAUGGUUUGAUGGACCCUAGUAUCUAUUACUGUCAUCUGCUACUUUGUUCUUUAUAUUUUAUUCACGCCACCUGAAUUAACAGAGAAAAUCAUAAGUGAAGGUUCAUUGAAAAUGAAGUGGAAGAAUUACCAAGGUGCUUAAUCAAUGUAUGGAAUCGAAAGAAUACAUGGAAAUCAGAAAUGCCCUUAUUGUGCUCAGAAAGAUUACUAGUAUAUUUCCUGUGAUUCGAAAAAGUGGUAUCAACCUCGAGAAAAGGGUAAAUACAUCAUUACUCACCAUUUAUGAUAUGCUGCUGGCCUAAAGGGGAACAAGAGGGAUGAUCUGAAAGUACUGACAAUUGGUGUACCUGCUGCUCUCAAGGAAAUUAAUCUGCAGAUCUCUUAGCAGCAAAAGAUCAUAGCGUUCAUGCAAAAUCUACAGAGGGUAGGCAAAUGCAAUGAAAACCUGAUGCUCAACAUAAGAAGAAUGUCUCGUCUACAAAAGGAUCUGAUAAUCUUCCUCUGCACAGAGAAAUGGUUCAGGGAUUGCAUGCGUUGCAGAUGAACCUUCAAAAAAUUUGUCCAAUGAUGGAGUUAAAGUCUUCAAGCCUACUGCAGAACCUGAGACAAGCGUGCUGUACUCAAUGCUGUAGAGGUAUGUAAGAAUGAUGCGAGAAGGAAGAAGCAAACCUGGGAAAUCUACCAGCAGGGGUCUUAAUCGACAAGCUUAUUGAUAGAGAAGUAUUUUCUCAGGCAACUGACAGUGUGCUGGACACUAGUCCCACUAGUUGGUUUGUGACGGUGUGCUGGCACCAAUGGUAAUGUACAUCCAGCGCCAUGGAAGGUAUCAGCGUCCUCCCAAAGAUCAACAGUGUU